ACAUGGAUAACUGUGGUAAUUCUAGAGCUAAUACAUGCACCCAGUCCGUUCCCUCGUGGAGCGGAUGCAGUUAUUUGCCCAAAACCAAUCCGGCCUUCGGGUCGGUCAAUUGGUGACUCUGAAUAACCGAAGCGGAGCGCAUGGUCUCGUACCGGCGCCAGAUCUUUCAAGUGUCUGACUUAUCAGCUUGUUGUUAGGUUAUGUUCCUAACAAGGCAUCAACGGGUAACGGAGUGUCAGGGCCCGACACCGGAGAGGGAGCCUGAGAAACGGCUACCACAUCCAAGGAAGGCAGCAGGCGCGCAAAUUACCCACUCCCGGCACGGGGAGGUAGUGACGAAAAAUAACGAUGCGAGAGCUUUAUGCUCCUCGUAAUCGGAAUGGGUACACUUUAAAUCCUUUAACGAGGAUCUAUUGGAGGGCAAGUCUGGUGCCAGCAGCCGCGGUAAUUCCAGCUCCAAUAGCGUAUAUUAAAGUUGCUGCGGUUAAAAAGCUCGUAGUUGGAUCUGGGUAGUCGAUGGACGGUGCGCUUUACGGCGUCUACUGUUCGUUCGGCACCACAUGCCGGCCAUGUCUUGCAUGCUCUUCACUGAGUGUGCUUGGCGACCGGAACGUUUACUUUGAAAAAAUUAGAGUGCUCAAAGCAGGCGUUAAGCCUUGCAUAAUGGUGCAUGGAAUAAUAGAAUAGGACCUCGGUUCUAUUUUGUUGGUUUUCGGAGCUCGAGGUAAUGAUUAAUAGGAACAGACGGGGGCAUUCGUAUUGCGGCGUUAGAGGUGAAUUUCUUGGAUCGUCGCAAGACGCACUACUGCGAAAGC
rnacentral:rRNA from 1 species